UACAGAGGGGGCAAGCGUUAUUCGGAAUUAUUGGGCGUAAAGCGCGUGUAGGCGGUCCGGUAAGUCGGCUGUGAAAGUCCAGGGCUCAACCCCUGGGAUGCCCGGUCGAUACUGCCGGACUAGAGUUCGGAAGAGGCGAGUGGAAUUCCCGGUGUAGCGGUGAAAUGCGCAGAUAUCGGGAGGAACACCAAUGGCGAAGGCAGCUCGCUGGGACGUUACUGACGCUGAGACG
rnacentral:rRNA from 1 species